rnacentral:rRNA from 1 species
GAGUUUGAUCCUGGCUCAGGAUGAACGCUAGCGGCAGGCUUAACACAUGCAAGUCGAGGGGUAGAGUUAGCUUGCUAACUUGAGACCGGCGCACGGGUGCGUAACGCGUAUGCAAUCUACCUUUUACAGAGGGAUAGCCCAGAGAAAUUUGGAUUAAUACCUCAUAGUAUCUUUGCCUGGCAUCAGGUGAUUAUUAAAGUUCCAACGGUAAAAGAUGAGCAUGCGUCCUAUUAGCUAGAUGGUAAGGUAACGGCUUACCAUGGCAACGAUAGGUAGGGGUCCUGAGAGGGAGAUCCCCCACACUGGUACUGAGACACGGACCAGACUCCUACGGGAGGCAGCAGUGAGGAAUAUUGGACAAUGGGCGCAAGCCUGAUCCAGCCAUGCCGCGUGCAGGAAGAAGCAUCUAUGGUGUGUAAACUGCUUUUGUACGGGAAGAAACACUCCCUCGUGAGGGAGCUUGACGGUACCGUAAGAAUAAGGAUCGGCUAACUCCGUGCCAGCAGCCGCGGUAAUACGGAGGAUCCAAGCGUUAUCCGGAAUCAUUGGGUUUAAAGGGUCCGUAGGCGGUUUUGUAAGUCAGUGGUGAAAUCUGGUCGCUCAACGAUCAAACGGCCAUUGAUACUGCAAGACUUGAAUUACUGGGAAGUAACUAGAAUAUGUAGUGUAGCGGUGAAAUGCUUAGAUAUUACAUGGAAUACCAAUUGCGAAGGCAGGUUACUACCAGUGGAUUGACGCUGAUGGACGAAAGCGUGGGGAGCGAACAGGAUUAGAUACCCUGGUAGUCCACGCCGUAAACG